UCUCACCCAGCCCCGGCCCCAGAACCGGACAAACGACCUCAGGGACUGCAUUCUAGGCAAUCCAGGGCUCCCAGAGCUCGCCAGGCCCGGCUGGGGCUGGCUGUUUCCAAGUGCUCUGACAGAGAGCAUCCCUCCUGAAGCCUCCCUUUCCACAAGCCUCCCAAUCCCAAAUUCUGGAAGCAUUGCUGGCCCAUUUUGCAGAUCAGAAACACAAGAGUCUGGAAGUGAAGCGCCACCCGUGCCCCAGGCCCCUUCCCGACCCCCCAGUAAGGAAGGAGAUCCUGCCAGGUUGCCUGCGGGAAGGGGAAAGAAACCAUGUGCUCUGUCCCCCAGACUCUAAGACCCUCCCCCUUCCUCUGCACUCUGCCAGCCCCUCCCCAGGAACGGUUCUGGUUUCUGGCUUUAAUUGUUUUAAUAACAAAGCUAGGAAGGGCUUCUGUAGAUUAGAGCUGGGCCGCAGCAAGCAGGACCCCCCCCCCCCAGGAGCUGCUCCCUCCUCCCUAACGGGACUUAGAGCAGAGGGGAGGGCGGGAGAAGGGGCCCGGCCAAUGGCUCUCUGGGCCGGGGGACAGCCUGGGCACUGGGAAGGGUGGGUGCCGAGGUGGAAGAAGAGAGUUUGGAAGAUGGGUGGGGGUGGGGCGGCCUGAAAUCGCCCAGUUCAGCUCCCUUUUGACAGAUGGGGAAACCGAGGCCCGGAACCGGGAACGAUAUGCGCGAGGUCUCCCAGGUUUGCAGAGCACUUUAUGUCUGUUCUCCCGAAGAAGCAGAGAAGAUCACUCCAGGGCUCAGCACACAGCUUUGGGGAAGCAGGGCCCCACCCUGGGCACACAGCCGGGAGGAAGUGGAACCCCACCGCGGGAACACAGCUGGGGGGAAGUGAACCCUACCGCGGGCACAUAGCUGGGGGGGGGGGGGAAGCGGAGCCCCACCCGGGCACACAGCUGGGGGAGAACGGAGACCCACCUGGGCACACAGCUGGGGGAGAACAGAGCCCCACCCUGGCACACAGCUGGGGGGGAGCAGAGUCCUUCUCUGCCUUCCCUUCCCUCUGCUGCCCCAGCUAGUGACCGGGGGGGGGGGCAGUCACCCUCCCUGCCCAAACCCCUUUGAGAAGGAGUGAACAUGUGGUAGUCCCGUCUUCCCUGAAAGGCUGGAGAGAAGUGACAGGCAUCUCGGAGCUUGCCAAGUUCCUACUCCAGGAGGAUGACCUGAUGGGGAAACUGAGGCUUGCCCCGAGUUCCCGAGAAGGUCCCUGACUUCCAGGUCCCAGCUUCUCACCUCAUCAUCACGACUCUCAUCUGGGCCCUGGGGACGAGGGCUCCACGACCUGGCUGAGCAAGCUGGUCUCUGUCUUUAAUGCAUCUCAGACAGAGCCAGGGAAUUCUCCACAGCACAACCUCAUCUAAGCCCCUGACUGAGAUCCAGCCCCCAGCCUUCCCACCAGCCUGGCUUUACUGGCUUCCUGGCUGAAGAUGGCACUUAACUGGAUUUUGAGGAAGCAUUUCACAAGGCCUCUGGUGAGCAGAGAGGAAAUCAUCAGGGGGACCUGAAACAGCUUUGGGUGGCCAGACCCAGCCUCCCCCUGGGAGGAGGUUUCUAGUGGGGUGCCCCAAGAUCCAGCUGUGGCCCUCCGCUGGGAGUCAACUCAAGGAAUGUUUCCUGACUGGCUGGCUGAACGUUUCCAUCAAAGCUCUGGACAAAGGCAGGGACGGCAUCUCCAUCAAAGGGAUGGACAGGAGGCUGGGAGGGAGACUGCCCCGGGGUACUACGGUUCUUAGAAGACUGGAGUUGGCUGGAACAUGAGUCAGAGCACAGAAGACAGGAUGAUGAGCUCCAGGCCUGCACUUGGGCUUCAAAAGCCAGAGGCGAAUGAUUAGGGUGGGAUGGGCUUGCAGAUUCAGUUCCCCAUGGGCCCAGUUCCCAGAGACAGGAACAGCAUGGGAGGGGAGAGAUUCUCUGAAGAGGGUGGUUUGAUUCGGGAAACGUGGGGCCUGGCAAUGGCCAAAAGCAUCCCCCCCUCAGCUUUCUCCUCCGAGCACCAAGCUCCCCACUUCCAUGCAGUUAGAAGUUACCCAUUAACUUCUCUCUGCUCUCUAGUAAGCCAUUUUCUGUGCUUCGGGGAGACAGAACAGCUGGUUGUGUGCUCCAGGGAGACAGAACAGCUGGUCACUCUUCUGAAGAAAGCCUCUCCGUUGGCAAUUGUGAAGCUUUUCUCUUGUGGGAUUAAAAAAUAACUCCAUUUGUUUAAGAAUUUUAAAAGCUACGUGGACUUCUCUGUAGAGAAGGGACUUUGGGAAUCCUUCCUCCCCCAGGCUGAUCAGGCUUCAGUUAAUGAACCCCAGCAUCAUUCCCUGGGCUUUCACAAAGAAGAGGAAUGAGUGACCAGCAGUUGGGGGCUACAAAAUGUAGAAGAGACAUCCAAAAUUAAGUGGGAGGGGGCACUGGGGCUGAAGAAAAGCCAAGGGGGAACAAGGAAUCUUAGGUGAGUGUUGCUCCCCCCAAGAAGACUAAAUGCAAAGAGUGUGGAAGGUCUCUGGCUGUGAACUGGUUCUCAAAGGGGGAGGGAUCGUUGUGCUGCACACACAUCCACUGCCCGACUCUCAAACCCAAGCCUUCAUCGAGGGGGAAAAGUUAAAGUUUCACAAUUGUUGUCAAACCACUGAAUGUUUGAUUGUUUUGGUUUGUUUUUGUUUUUUUUUAUAAAGCCUAGCUGUCCUUUUU